rnacentral:lncRNA from 1 species
UCUUGGGAUAGGUGGAUAUGUGUUGGGUUUAAAGGUUCGACUUGAGGGUUAAUAUCGAUCGUAUCAAGGAUCAUUCUGGUGAGGAUCCCUUGUGUAUCCUAUCGGGUUAGGCAUUCCUUUAUGUGUCAAUUAUUAUUUAAUGCCUAUAAACUCUAUGCUUGUAUGUGAUUGUUGCUACCUUGCAAACGUGAUUCAUGGUGGGAUUGAGUUGAUAUGUGCAUGAUUACCUCUUUAUGUGAAGUCACCUAAACAUUUGUUUUAGGGGGAUUAAAUUGGUAAUUGAUUGAUCACCUAGUUAGGGCCCGUAUGCUGGCGAUCUCAAUGUGUGCGUAUCGCACUAAUGUUCAAUAAAAUGGGCCUUUUAUGGUGCCACCAAUGUAAUGUGUUAUUUUGCCCGGAAUGGGUACGAUAUUCAUUUAACCUUAUGUCCCUAAGCUAGUGCCUCAAUGCCAAUGAUGUUCGAAAAGUCAUCCAACAUACGCGUGCCGGGAUCCCAAAUAAAAUAUGCAAUAAAGAGCUAGUGUCCUAGGAGUAGCCACAUGUGUUUCAUGUUGGGAAUAAAUGUUAUAUGAUUGAAUGCACCUUAGAGUGACCCAGGGCUGAAGGUGGUCCUCACUAAGUGAUUAGCAUUGGCCCUUAUUUUUCCUCAGACCGGCAGUAGGAGGAAUCAGUACACACUGGCAGCAAGGAGUGGAUCAUCGAUGGGCGAUCGUGGCAAUGAUGUCUGGUAGAAUCAGAAGAAUGUGUCUUGAUCCUCUACUAUUUUAAAUGGAUUUUAAGAUUUAUAUAUCUUUCGUCAUAUGGAUAUGUCAUAUGUGUUUAAAGGGUGUGAGAUUGUGUUAUGAUGUGUAAUGGCCAGAAAGGCAACAUAUUUGGCAACUCCAUUUAUAUUGAUGGAGUCAAUGACUUUUCUGCUAUUUUGUAUCCUUAUGGAUUCCUAUUGUGG